CAUGAUUUAAAGAGUGCGUAACAGCUCACUGGUCGAGUGGUAGAGCACCGAAGAUAAUCGGGACUUAAGUAUUUUACCGAAGCUGCGGAGCAACACGCUUGCGUGUUGCUGGUAGGAGAGCAUUGUGAACAGCGUUGAAGGUGGAUUGUAAGAUCUGCUGGAGCGUUCACAAGAGACCAUGUCGGCAUGAGUAACGACAAUGCGGGUGAGAAACCCGCACACCACAAGCCCGAGGAUUCCUGAGUAAAGUUAAUCUUCUCAGGGUUAGUCGGCCCCUAAGGUAUAGCGAAUAGCGAAGCUGAUGGGAAUCAGGUUAAUAUUCCUGAACCUGUGUAUGAUGCGAUGGAGUGACGCGACGGUGCAGCGGGGACUGCUGUUGGAAUAGCAGUUGAACGCGUGUAGGAGGUGGUGCAGGCAAAUCCGUGCCACAUGCACUCCGAGGCGUGGGACGAGGCGCAAGCCGUAAAGUCCGCCUAUAAACGUCGCCGAGAAACAGCUUCUAAGCUUCAGUCAUGCACAGACCGUACCGCAAACCGACACAGGUGGGCGAGGAGAAUAUCCUAAGGUGUUCGAGCGAACUCUGGUUAAGGAACUAGGCAAAAUAACCCCGUAACUUCGGGAGAAGGGGUGCCCCGUUAUCGUGAGGGUGUACAGCCCAGAGCGAGAGGGGGCCGCAGUGAAGAGGCCCAAGCGACUGUUUAUCAAAAACACAGGUCUAUGCGAAGGCGAAAGUCACGGUAUAUAGACUGACACCUGCCCGGUGCCGGAAGGUUAAAUGGAGAGGUCAUCCCUGUUCCACAGAUCUUCGUGAGAUAGCAGCCAUCCUGACCAAGAAAGCAAAUGAGAGAUCGAGAGAUCGGAUCAGACGUGAAACUGGAAAGGAAGGAUUGCCAUCCACGGAGAUGCGUGGAACGGGGAGAAGCUUCGAAAUGAAGCCCCGGUAAACGGCGGCCGUAACUAUAACGGUCCUAAGGUAGCGAAAUUCCUUGUCGGGUAAGUUCCGACCUGCACGAAUGGUGUAACGAUUUGGGCGCUGUCUCAACCAGGGGCUCGGUGAAAUUGAAGUAGCGGUGAAGAUGCCGCUUACCCGCGAACGGACGGAAAGACCCCGUGAACCUUUACUGUAGCUUGGCAUUGUAAAUUGGUGCAGUAUGUGUAGGAUAGGUGGGAGGCUAUGAAGCGUGCACGCUAGUGUGUGUGGAGCCGACGUUGAAAUACCACCCUUAUUGUAUCGGUUUACUAACGAUGGUAAAGCCAUCGGACAUUGCCAGGUGGGCAGUUUGACUGGGGCGGUCGCCUCCGAAAGAGUAACGGAGGCUUACCAAGGUUCCCUCCGGCUGGUUGGUAAUCAGCCAUAGAGCAUAAAGGCAUAAGGGAGCUUGACUGCGAGACUGACGGGUCGAGCAGGUUGGAAACAAGGUCUUAGUGAUCCGGCGGUCCUGAAUGGAAGGGCCGUUGCUCAAAGGAUAAAAGGUACUCCGGGGAUAACAGGCUGAUACCGCCCAAGAGUUCAUAUCGACGGCGGUGUUUGGCACCUCGAUGUCGGCUCAACUCAUCCUGGGGCUGAAGAAGGUCCCAAGGGUUCGGCUGUUCGCCGAUUAAAGAGUUACGCGAGCUGGGUUCAGAACGUCGUGAGACAGUUCGGUCCCUAUCCUUCGUGGGCGCAGGAAAUUUGAGGAGCUCUGCAUUUAGUACGAGAGGACCGGUGUGGACGAACCUCUGGUGUACCGGUUGUGAUGCCAAUUGCAUUGCCGGGUAGCCACGUUCGGAGAGGAUAACCGCUGAAAGCAUCUAAGCGGGAAGCCAGCUCCAAGAUGAGAUUUCCCAACAGACAGGUUGGAGACUACAACCUUGAUAGGUCACAGGUGUAAGCGCGGCAACGCGUUCAGCCGAGUGAUACUAAUAAGUCGAUUGGCUUUCGCC
rnacentral:rRNA from 1 species